UCGUAACCAGGUUUCCGUAGGUGAACCUGCGGAAGGAUCAUUACUGAACUGUCGACACGAGUUGUUGCUGGCCCUCGAAAGGGGCACGUGCACGCUCUGUUUACACAUCCACUCACACCUGUGCACCCUCCGUAGUUCUAUGGCCUUGGGGACUCUGUCCCAUUGCCGUGGUUCUGCGUCUUUACACACACACCGUAAUAAAGUCUCAUGGAAUGUAGUCGCGUUUAACGCAAUACAAUACAACUUUCAGCAACGGAUCUCUUGGCUCUCGCAUCGAUGAAGAACGCAGCGAAAUACGAUAAGCAAUGUGAAUUGCAGAAUUCAGUGAAUCAUCGAAUCUUUGAACGCACCUUGCGCCCUUUGGCUAUUCCGAAGGGCAUGCCUGUUUGAGUAUCAUGAACACCUCAACUCUCAUGGUCCGCCAUGAUGAGCUUGGACUAUGGGGGUCUUGCCGGCCUAGCGUCGGCUCCUCUCAAAUGGAUCAGCUUCCCAGUGUUUGGUGGCGUCACAGGUGUGAUAACUAUCUACGCUUGUGGUUUUCCACCAUUAACCCUCAGCAAUGGAGGUUCGCUGGAGCUUACAGAUGUCUUUCCUUGGGGAGGACAGCUUCUUGAAUGUCUGAUCUCAAAUCAGGUAGGACUACCCGCUGAACUUAAGCAU
rnacentral:rRNA from 1 species